rnacentral:rRNA from 1 species
CGACCGGGUGAGUAACACGUGACUAACCUACCUUCGAUGGGGGAUAACAUCGGGAAACCGAUGCUAAUACCGCAUAACAUCGCAAGAUCAAAGCAGCAAUGCGCUUGAAGAGGGGGUCGCGGCUGAUUAGCUAGUUGGCGGGGUAACGGCCCACCAAGGCGAAGAUCGGUAGCCGGCCUGAGAGGAUGAUCAGCCACACUGGAACUGAGACACGGUCCAG